rnacentral:rRNA from 1 species
AGUGGACGCUGGCGGUAGGCCUAACACAUGCAAGUCGAACGGCAGCACAGUAAGAGCUUGCUCUUACGGGUGGCGAGUGGCGGGCGGGUGAGGAAUACAUCGGAAUCUACUUUUUCGUGGGGGAUAACGUAGGGAAACUUACGCUAAUACCGCAUACGACCUACGGGUGAAAGCAGGGGAUAUUCGGACCUUGCGCGAUUGUAUGAGCCGAUGUCGGAUUAGCUAGUUGGCGGGGUAAAGGCCCACCAAGGCAACGAUCCGUAGCUGGUCUGAGAGGAUGAUCAGCCACACUGGAACUGAGACACGGUCCAGACUCCUACGGGAGGCAGCAGUGGGGAAUAUUGGACAAUGGGCGCAAGCCUGAUCCAGCCAUACCGCGUGGGUGAAGAAGGCCUUCGGGUUGUAAAGCCCUUUUGUUGGGAAAGAAAAGCAGCAUGUUAAUACCCCGCUGUUCUGACGGUACCCAAAGAAUAAGCACCGGCUAACUUCGUG